rfam:Ailuropoda melanoleuca scaffold2813_5, whole genome shotgun sequence.
GCCUGUCUGGCUCAUUCAGUAGAGCAUGUGACUCUUGAUCUUGGGUUGUGAGUUCAAGCCCCAUGUUGGGUG